GAUGAACGCUGGCGGCGUGCUUAACACAUGCAAGUCGAACGGAAAGGCCCUGCUUUUGUGGGGUGCUCGUUUGGCGAACGGGUGAGUAACACGUGUGUAACCUGCCCCUGUCUUUGGGAUAACUUCAGGAAACUGGGGCUAAUACCGGAUAGGAGCUCCUGCUGCAUGGUGGGCGUUGGAAAGUUUCGGCGGUUGGGGAUGGACUCGCGGCUUAUCAGCUUGUUGGUGGGGUAGUGGCUUACCAAGGCUUUGACGGGUAGCCGGCCUGAGAGGGUGACCGGCCACAUUGGGACUGAGAUACGGCCCAGACUCCUACGGGAGGCAGCAGUGGGGAAUAUUGCACAAUGGGCGGAAGCCUGAUGCAGCAACGCCGCGUGCGGGAUGACGGCCUUCGGGUUGUAAACCGCUUUCGCCUGUGACGAAGCGUGAGUGACGGUAAUGGGUAAAGAAGCACCGGCUAACUACGUG
rnacentral:rRNA from 1 species